GACAGAGGGUGCGAACGUUGUUCGGAAUUACUGGGCGUAAAGGGCGUGCAGGCGGUUUGUUAAGUCUAGGGUGAAAGCUCCCGGCUCAACUGGGAGAGGUCCUUGGAUACUGGCAGACUUGAGGAGGGUAGAGGAGAGUGGAAUUCCAGGUGUAGCGGUGAAAUGCGUAGAUAUCUGGAGGAACACCGGUGGCGAAGGCGGCAUUCUGGACCGACAUUGACGCUGAGGAGCGAAAGCCAGGGGAGCAAACGGG
rnacentral:rRNA from 1 species